GACAGAGGUGCCGAGCGUUAGGCGGAAUCACUGGGCUUAAAGCGCGCGCAGGCGGCCCGCGAGGUGUCACGUGAAAGCCCCGGGCUCAACCCGGGAGGGUCGUGGCAAACCGGCGGGCUUGAGGCCGGUAGAGGUGGGUGGAACUCCUGGUGGAGUGGUGAAAUGCGUAGAGAUCAGGAAGAACACCCGUGGCGAAGGCGGCCCACUGGGCCGGUACUGACGCUGAGACGCGAAGGCGUGGGGAGCGAACAGG
rnacentral:rRNA from 1 species